rnacentral:rRNA from 1 species
GGCUCGGAGAUGUGUAUAAGAGACAGGGGAAGAGCCCAAACGUGUAAAAAGAGAAAAUAGCCAGUCGAAUCAUCUGGGAAGACGAACCAAAGAAGGUAACAGUCCCGUAGACGAAGGCGAAGAUAUCCGACACAAAAGAGUACCACGGAACACGAGAAAUUCAGUGGGAAUACAGGGGGACCACCCCCUAAGGCUAAAUACUACUUGGUGACCGAUAGCGAACAAGUACCGUGAGGGAAAGGUGAAAAGAACCCCUGGAGGGGAGUGAAAUAGAAUCUGAAACCUAGUGUUUACAAGCAGCGAAAGUGGCAAAAGCCACGAUCGUGUACUUUUUGUAGAACGGGCCAGCGAGUUACGAUUACAAGCAAGGUUAAACAUUAAAGAUGUGGAGCCGAAGCGAAAGCGAGUCUAAAGAGGGCAAAAGUUAGUAGUCGUAGACCCGAAACCGUGUGAUCUAUCCAUGAGCAGAGUGAAGUUGAAGUAAAAUUCAAUGGAGGCUCGAACCGGGUAGCGUUUAAAAGCUAUCGGAUGACUUGUGGAUAGGGGUGAAAAGCCAAACGAACACGGAGAUAGCUGGUUCUCCUCGAAAUAGCUUUAGGGCUAGCCUCUAGCAAGAAUGAAAAGGGGGUAGAGCACUGACUGGUCAAGGGGCAUGCAUAUGUUACCGAGACCUAUCAAACUCCGAAUACCAAAUCAUACGCUAGGGAGUCAGACUAUGGGGGAUGAGCUUCAUAGUCGAAAGGGAAAGAGCCCAGACCAUCAGCUAAGGUCCCAAAAUUAUAGUUAAGUGGGAAAGGAUGUGGAGUUACUGAGACAACUAGGAUGUUGGCUUAGAAGCAGCCACUCAUUUAAAGAGUGCGUAAUAGCUCACUAGUCAAGUGACUCUGCGCCGAAGAUAACCGGGGCUAAACUAUAUACCGAAGCUAUGGAACGAAAAACGUUGGUAGAGGAGCAAUGUAUGAAGGAAGAAGCAGAAGUUGAAAAGCACUGUGGACAUCAUACAAGAGAGAAUGCUGGCAUGAGUAGCGAGAGGUGAGUGAGAAUCUCACCCGUCGAAAACCUAAGGAUUCCUGAGCAAGGCUCGUCCACUCAGGGUAAGUCGGGACCUAAGGCGAGGCUGAAAAGCGUAGUCGAUGGACAACAGGUUGAAAAUCCUGUACCGAUACAAUCAGUGAGGAAGUGGGGACGCAGAAGGAUAAUAAGAGCGCCCAGUUGGUGAGGCGUGCAAGCGCAAAGGAUGGGAAGUAGGCAAAUCCGCUUUCCGAGAAGUCUAAAGCGUGAUGCGGAUCGAAAACAAGUAGAGAAGCUUAUAACUCCACACUGCCAAGAAAAGCCACUACAAGAGAAGUAUCGCCCGUACCGCAAACCGACACAGGUAGGUGAGGAGAGAAUCCUAAGACGAGCGGAAAAACCUUUGUUAAGGAACUCGGCAAAAUGACCCCGUAACUUCGGGAGAAGGGGAGCCCCUGUAAAAGGGGGCCGCAGUGAAAAGGCCCAAGCGACUGUUUACCAAAAACACAAGUUUCUGCGAAGUCGAAAGACGAAGUAUAGGAGCUGACACCUGCCCGGUGCUGGAAGGUUAAGGGAAAAAGUUAGCAUAAGCGAAGCUUAGAACUGAAGCCCCAGUAAACGGCGGCCGUAACUAUAACGGUCCUAAGGUAGCGAAAUUCCUUGUCGGGUAAGUUCCGACCCGCACGAAAGGCGUAAUGAUUUGGGCACUGUCUCAACGAGAGACUCGGUGAAAUUUUAGUACCUGUGAAGAUGCAGGUUACCCGCGACAGGACGGAAAGACCCCAUGGAGCUUUACUGCAGUUUGAUAUUGAGUAUCUGUACCACAUGUACAGGAUAGGUAGGAGCCUAUGACCUCGGGACGCCAGUUUCGAGUGAGGCGUUGUUGGGAUACUACCCUUGUGUUAUGGCUACUCUAACCCAGAUAGGUUAUCCCUAUCGGAGACAGUGUCUGACGGGCAGUUUGACUGGGGCGGUCGCCUCCUAAAAGGUAACGGAGGCGCCCAAAGGUUCCCUCAGAAUGGUUGGAAAUCAUUCGCAGAGUGUAAAGGUAUAAGGGAGCUUGACUGCGAGAGCUACAACUCGAGCAGGGACGAAAGUCGGGCUUAGUGAUCCGGUGGUUCCGUAUGGAAGGGCCAUCGCUCAACGGAUAAAAGCUACCCUGGGGAUAACAGGCUUAUCUCCCCCAAGAGUUCACAUCGACGGGGAGGUUUGGCAC